ACGUAGGGUGCAAGCGUUAAUCGGAAUUACUGGGCGUAAAGCGUGCGCAGGCGGUUUUGUAAGACAGAGGUGAAAUCCCCGGGCUCAACCUGGGAACUGCCUUUGUGACUGCAAGGCUGGAGUGCGGCAGAGGAGGAUGGAAUUCCGCGUGUAGCAGUGAAAUGCGUAGAUAUCGGGAGGAACACCGGUGGCGAAAGCGGAUCUCUGGCGCGUUACUGACGCUGAGACGCGAGAGCGUGGGGAGCAAACAG
rnacentral:rRNA from 1 species